rnacentral:rRNA from 3 species
CUUGCUUCUCUUGAGAGCGGCGGACGGGUGAGUAAUGCCUAGGAAUCUGCCUGGUAGUGGGGGAUAACGUUCGGAAACGGACGCUAAUACCGCAUACGUCCUACGGGAGAAAGCAGGGGACCUUCGGGCCUUGCGCUAUCAGAUGAGCCUAGGUCGGAUUAGCUAGUUGGUGGGGUAAUGGCUCACCAAGGCGACGAUCCGUAACUGGUCUGAGAGGAUGAUCAGUCACACUGGAACUGAGACACGGUCCAGACUCCUACGGGAGGCAGCAGUGGGGAAUAUUGGACAAUGGGCGAAAGCCUGAUCCAGCCAUGCCGCGUGUGUGAAGAAGGUCUUCGGAUUGUAAAGCACUUUAAGUUGGGAGGAAGGGUUGUAGAUUAAUACUCUGCAAUUUUGACGUUACCGACAGAAUAAGCACCGGCUAACUCUGUGCCAGCAGCCGCGGUAAUACAGAGGGUGCAAGCGUUAAUCGGAAUUACUGGGCGUAAAGCGCGCGUAGGUGGUUAGUUAAGUUGGAUGUGAAAUCCCCGGGCUCAACCUGGGAACUGCAUUCAAAACUGACUGACUAGAGUAUGGUAGAGGGUGGUGGAAUUUCCUGUGUAGCGGUGAAAUGCGUAGAUAUAGGAAGGAACACCAGUGGCGAAGGCGACCACCUGGACUGAUACUGACACUGAGGUGCGAAAGCGUGGGGAGCAAAC